rnacentral:rRNA from 1 species
CAUCUCCUCAGGAGGAGCAGGCGCGCAAAUUACCCAAUCCCGAUUCGGGGAGGUAGUGACAAUAAAUAACAAUACAGGGCCAACGGUCUUGUUAUUGGAAUGAGAGCAAUUUAAAUAACUUAACGAGGAUCAAUUAGAGGGCAAGUCUGGUGCCAGCAGCCGCGGUAAUUCCAGCUCUAAUAGCGUAUAUUAAAGUUGUUGCAGUAAAAAGCUCGUAGUCGGAUGUCGGGCUCGGGCAAGCUGUCGGCCUUUGGUCGGACGGCAGGCUCGGGUCUUUCUGCCUGAGGAACCCGGUUGCUUUAACGAGCUGCCGGUGGACGCAGGUCGUUUACUUUGAAAAAAUUAGAGUGUUCAAAGCAGGCUAGCGCUUGAAUACAUUAGCAUGGAAUAAUGGAAUAGGACUUUGGUGCUAUUUUGUUGGUUUAUGGGACCGAAGUAAUGAUUAACAGGGACAGUUGGGGCCGUUUAUAUUUCGUUGUCAGAGGUGAAAUUCUUGGAUUUACGAAAGAUAAACUUCUGCGAAAGCAUUCGGCAAGGAUGUUUUCAUUGAUCAAGAACGAAAGUUAGGGGAUCGAAGACGAUCAGAUACCGUCGUAGUCUUAACCAUAAACUAUGCCGACUAGGGAUCAGUGGAUGUCAAUUUGCGACUCCAUUGGCACCUUGUGAGAAAUCAAAGUUUUUGGGUUCCGGGGGGAGUAUGGUCGCAAGGCUGAAACUUAAAGGAAUUGACGGAAGGGCACCACCAGGAGUGGAGCCUGCGGCUUAAUUUGACUCAACACGGGGAAACUUACCAGGUCCAGACAUAGUAAGGAUUGACAGAUUGAAAGCUCUUUCUUGAUU